rnacentral:rRNA from 1 species
GACGAACGCUGGCGGCGUGCUUAACACAUGCAAGUCGAACGAAGUGGCGAACGGGUGAGUAAUACGUGGGUAACCUGCCCUCCUUUUUGGGAUAAGCCUUGGAAACGGGGUCUAAUACCGAAUAAAGGGGGAUGGGCUCGCGGCCUAUCCGGUUGUUGGUGGGGUGAUGGCCUACCAAGGCGGUGACGGGUAGCCGGCCUGAGAGGGUGACCGGCCACAUGGGGACUGAGAUACGGCCCAGACUCCUACGGGAGGCAGAAGUGAGGAAUAUUGGGCAAUGGAUGCAAAUCUGAACCAGCCAAGUAGCGUGCAGGAUGACGGCCUAUGGGUUGUAAACUGCUUUUAUGUGAGAAUAUGUAUCAAAUGAAUAAGGACCGGCUAAUUCCGUGCCAGCAGACGCGGUAAUUC